UACGGAGGGUGCGAGCGUUAAUCGGAAUUACUGGGCGUAAAGCGUACGUAGGCGGCUUGUUAAGCAAGAUGUGAAAUCCCUGGGCUCAACCUGGGAACCGCAUUUCGAACUGGCAAACUAGAGUCUUGUAGAGGGGGGUAGAAUUCCAGGUGUAGCGGUGAAAUGCGUAGAUAUCAGGAGGAACACCGAUGGCGAAGGCGACCACCUGGGCUAAUACUGACACUGAGGUGCGAAAGCGUGGGGAGCAAACAGG
rnacentral:rRNA from 1 species